AGCCUUCUGUAUCCGUGCUGAGAUUUCGUCACAUACAAGACCACAACGGCUGAUGAGUAUUCGCAAGGAACAGUCGAUU
rnacentral:pre_miRNA from 1 species